rnacentral:tRNA from 1 species
UCCGCCUUGGUGUAACGGCAGCACGGCAGUUUUUGGAGCUGUUAGGUCUAGGUUCGAAUCCUAGGGGCGGAG